rnacentral:rRNA from 1 species
UACGUAGGGUGCGAGCGUUGUCCGGAAUUAUUGGGCGUAAAGAGCUUGUAGGCGGUUUGUCGCGUCUGCCGUGAAAACCCGGGGCUUAACCCUGGGCUUGCAGUGGAUACGGGCAGGCUAGAGGCAGGUAGGGGAGAAUGGAAUUCCCGGUGUAGCGGUGAAAUGCGCAGAUAUCGGGAGGAACACCGGUGGCGAAGGCGGUUCUCUGGGCCUGACCUGACGCUGAGGAGCGAAAGCGUGGGGAGCGAACAGG